rnacentral:rRNA from 1 species
GAUGAACGCUGGCGGCGUGCCUAAUACAUGCAAGUCGAGCGAAGCGGGGACGGGUGAGUAACACGUGGGUAACCUCCUAUAAGACUGGGAUAACUUCGGGAAACCGGUGCUAAUACGGCUAAUUCUAGAUGAAUCCGCUCGGGAUUAGCUAGUUGGUAAGGUAACGGCUUACCAAGGCCACGAUCCAUAGCCGACCUGAGAGGGUGAUCGGCCACACUGGAACUGAGACACGGUCCAGACUCCUACGGGAGGCAGCAGUAGGGAAUAUUCCGCAAUGGGCGCAAGCCUGACGCAGCAACGCCGCGUGAGUGAUAAAGGUCUUCGGAUUGUAAAACUCUGUUAUUAGGGAAGCGGUACCUAAAGAGAAAGCCACGGCUAACUACGUGCCAGCCGCCGCGGUAAUUC